rnacentral:rRNA from 1 species
UCGGGAAUUUUGGGCAAUGGGCGAAAGCCUGACCCAGCAACGCCGCGUGAAGGAUGAAGUAUUUCGGUAUGUAAACUUCGUAAGAAUAGGAAGAAUAAAUGACGGUACUAUUUGUAAGGUCCGGCUAACUACGUGCCAGCAGCCGCGGUAAUACGUAGGGACCAAGCGUUGUUCGGAUUUACUGGGCGUAAAGGGCGCGUAGGCGGCGUGGUAAGUCAUCUGUGAAAUCUCCGAGCUUAACUCGGAACGGUCAGAUGAUACUGCUGUGCUAGAGUACAGAAGGGGCAAUCGGAAUUCUUGGUGUAGCGGUGAAAUGCGUAGAUAUCAAGAGGAACACCUGAGGUGAAGACGGGUUGCUGGGCUGAUACUGACGCUGAGGCGCGAAAGCUAGGGUAGCAAACGGGAUUAGAUACCCAGGUAGUCCCUGAGCGGGCUGGCAAGGCGCAU